GUGGGGAAUAUUGGACAAUGGGGGGAACCCUGAUCCAGCCAUGCCGCGUGUGUGAAGAAGGCCUUUUGGUUGUAAAGCACUUUAAGCGAGGAGGAGGCUACCGAGAUUAAUACUCUUGGAUAGUGGACGUUACUCGCAGAAUAAGCACCGGCUAACUCUGUGCCAGCAGCCGCGGUAAUACAGAGGGUGCAAGCGUUAAUCGGAUUUAAUGGGCGUAAAGAGCGCGUAGGUGGCCAAUUAAGUCAAAUGUGAAAUCCCCGAGCUUAACUUGGGAAUUGCAUUCGAUACUGGUUGGCUAGAGUAUGGGAGAGGAUGGUAGAAUUCCAGGUGUAGCGGUGAAAUGCGUAGAGAUCUGGAGGAAUACCGAUGGCGAAGGCAGCCAUCUGGCCUAAUACUGACACUGAGGUGCGAAAGCAUGGGGAGCAAACAGGAUUAGAUACCCGGGUAGUCC
rnacentral:rRNA from 1 species